rnacentral:lncRNA from 1 species
GCAUGCUUCACACUUACAUCCUUUACAUCCUUCCCUUUCUUUUCAGUCCCUUCAGACUUGCCUUCCUUCACUUCAAUAGGAACACAUUUUUGACUAGUGGUUUUCCCCCUUGUCUCAGCAGCAUUCUUAUUCUGAGAAAUCUCCUUGUCUGAUUCAGGCUUGUCCAAUUUAACAUCACUGACAGAAGAUCCCCCUGGGAUGAACUCAACUUUGACUGGAGCUUGUUUCGAAUUAUCUGAAGCAGUUAUCAUCCUUUG